rnacentral:rRNA from 1 species
CGAAUGCUGACAUAAGUAACGAUAAAGCGGGUGAAAAGCCCGCUCGCCGGAAGACCAAGGGUUCCUGUCCAACGUUAAUCGGGGCAGGGUGAGUCGACCCCUAAGGCGAGGCCGAAAGGCGUAGUCGAUGGGAAACAGGUUAAUAUUCCUGUACUUGGUGUUACUGCGAAGGGGGGACGGAGAAGGCUAUGUUGGCCGGGCGACGGUUGUCCCGGUUUAAGCGUGUAGGCUGGUUUUCCAGGCAAAUCCGGAAAAUCAAGGCUGAGGCGUGAUGACGAGGCACUACGGUGCUGAAGCAACAAAUGCCCUGCUUCCAGGAAAAGCCUCUAAGCAUCAGGUAACAUCAAAUCGUACCCCAAACCGACACAGGUGGUCAGGUAGAGAAUACCAAGGCGCUUGAGAGAACUCGGGUGAAGGAACUAGGCAAAAUGGUGCCGUAACUUCGGGAGAAGGCACGCUGAUAUGUAGGUGAAGCGACUUGCUCGUGGAGCUGAAAUCAGUCGAAGAUACCAGCUGGCUGCAACUGUUUAUUAAAAACACAGCACUGUGCAAACACGAAAGUGGACGUAUACGGUGUGACGCCUGCCCGGUGCCGGAAGGUUAAUUGAUGGGGUUAGCGGUAACGCGAAGCUCUUGAUCGAAGCCCCGGUAAACGGCGGCCGUAACUAUAACGGUCCUAAGGUAGCGAAAUUCCUUGUCGGGUAAGUUCCGACCUGCACGAAUGGCGUAAUGAUGGCCAGGCUGUCUCCACCCGAGACUCAGUGAAAUUGAACUCGCUGUGAAGAUGCAGUGUACCCGCGGCAAGACGGAAAGACCCCGUGAACCUUUACUAUAGCUUGACACUGAACAUUGAGCCUUGAUGUGUAGGAUAGGUGGGAGGCUUUGAAGUGUGGACGCCAGUCUGCAUGGAGCCGGCCUUGAAAUACCACCCUUUAAUGUUUGAUGUUCUAACGUUGGCCCCUGAUCGGGGUUGCGGACAGUGUCUGGUGGGUAGUUUGACUGGGGCGGUCUCCUCCUAAAGAGUAACGGAGGAGCACGAAGGUUGGCUAAUCCUGGUCGGACAUCAGGAGGUUAGUGCAAUGGCAUAAGCCAGCUUGACUGCGAGCGUGACGGCGCGAGCAGGUGCGAAAGCAGGUCAUAGUGAUCCGGUGGUUCUGAAUGGAAGGGCCAUCGCUCAACGGAUAAAAGGUACUCCGGGGAUAACAGGCUGAUACCGCCCAAGAGUUCAUAUCGACGGCGGUGUUUGGCACCUCGAUGUCGGCUCAUCACAUCCUGGGGCUGAAGUAGGUCCCAAGGGUAUGGCUGUUCGCCAUUUAAAGUGGUACGCGAGCUGGGUUUAGAACGUCGUGAGACAGUUCGGUCCCUAUCUGCCGUGGGCGCUGGAGAACUGAGGGGGGCUGCUCCUAGUACGAGAGGACCGGAGUGGACGCAUCACUGGUGUUCGGGUUGUCAUGCCAAUGGCACUGCCCGGUAGCUAAAUGCGGAAGAGAUAAGUGCUGAAAGCAUCUAAGCACGAAACUUGCCCCGAGAUGAGUUCUCCCUGAGACUUUAAGUCUCCUGAAGGAACGUUGAAGACGACGACGUUGAUAGGCCGGGUGUGUAAGCGCAGCGAUGCGUUGAGCUAACCGGUACUAAUGAACCGUGAGGCUUAACCUU